UUUCAACUUGGCAGAAAAAUGCGAUAAAUUUAGAAUUUAUUAAUGAAAAUCUUUCAGUUGAAAA
rnacentral:tRNA from 1 species